AAUCUAGUCACUUGCCUGUGAGUUUUUGGAAAUGUUGCAGUAGUAAAAUAUUUUAAUCACAAUCAGCUAAAAUGUACGGAUCCAGCAUCUUUUUACCCCAAUUCCCCUCCCUCACACUUCUUGUCUUCAGGUGGCAUAAGAGGGCUAUAGACAUUUUUGGGGAGGGGUUGUUGACUUAGGAAUUCAUUUAAUUUGAGUUGAGAGAAACUAUGUAAGAGGUUUCCAGUCGCUGGCUUGUAUGGCUAUGUUGUUGCCAGGUGCCCUGGAGCAAUUGUGAUUCCCUGGAAUUCUCGGAAUAUUCACUGCCCAUCAGUCAUGAUCAUCCUGUGCAGGCAUCUCAAUGUGAAUGUGUUUCUUGACACCCAGCAACAGAAGACGCCCAGAGAAGACGCAGAAUGCAUGGGAGGAAAGUGAAUUUGAAAUCAUCAAAAGCCUCACUGAGCAGUUGACCUUUACCAUCUAGAUUGAUUUAUCAGUUCACCAAGUUCAAGUUUGAGAAGACUAUUUUCCACGAAGGUGAAAAUAGAGUGCUGGGACAAAGGCUGUGUCAGAAGAUGAACUGGUAUUAUUUCUCUCAUGAAGUGAGAGGGAAACAACAUCUUUUAGUUGUUUAAAGAUUUAUAAUUAAAGAGCACCUUCAUCUGAGUCAUGUCAUUUGAUCUUCAUGAAAACCUUAAGAGGUGGGCCUCUUAAAAAGAGAUCAAAUUCUCUAUUGUUGGCUUUGAAGAAAUACAGUACCAUGUUGUGAGGACAUGGAGAAGCCACACAGAGGAAGAAUUCAGGUGGCCUGUAGAACAGUGGGGGCAGUCCCUGGUCCUAACCAGCAGGAAACAGGGACCUUGGUCCUACAACCACAGAGAUGAAUUCUGAGGGAGCCCAGAAGCAGAUCUUUCUCCAGUUGAUCCUCCAGGUGAAAAUGUAGCCUGGUUGACACCUUGUUUGCAGCCUUGUGAGAUGUUAAGCAGAGAACCUAGUUAAGCUAUGUCCAGGCUCUUGGCACACAAAAACUUUGGGUUCAUAUAAUGUAUUGUUUUUAAUUACUAGGUUUGUUAUACUUUAUGAUGUAGCAAAGAAAACUAACUCUCAUGCCUUAUGUUGUGGCUUGCAUUAUUAAAUCUUAAUUUUGGUUU